rnacentral:misc_RNA from 1 species
AAGUCGUAACAAGGUUUCCGUAGGUGAACCUGCGGAAGGAUCAUUAUCAUAACGUAUCCACGUAUAAACCAACUUUAAAUUGAUGUGAAACGUAACUGUUUUAACACCUCGAGAUAAUCAGAUGAUUGCUAUACUUUACAUUGUUUGCGUGAUUAAAGCAAAAACGGUUUAGUAUGGACCUGUGCCUGUAACAAGGUGCUAGCGCUGAUUAUUUGGAGUGUAAAAAAUUUAAUCAACUAUUAACCCAUUGAACCGAAUUACUAUAUUCUUAACUGAGUUUAGUUAUUCAUUUUAAUUUCUAUUGUGUGAACUGAAUUGUCUACUUACUUGACACCGCCAUUGGUGGAGAGAAGUCGAUUAUAUUUACGAAACAUUAUAAAUUUCUAUGAACAACUCUUAGCAACGGAUAUCUUGGUUCUC